UACGUAGGGGGCAAGCGUUGUCCGGAAUCAUUGGGCGUAAAGAGCGUGUAGGCGGCUCGAUAAGUCUGCUGUGAAAGUCCAGGGCUCAACCCUGGAAGGCCGGUGGAAACUGUCGGGCUAGAGUCCGGAAGAGGCGAGUGGAAUUCCCGGUGUAGCGGUGAAAUGCGCAGAUAUCAGGAGGAACACCGAUGGCGAAGGCAGGUCUCUGGGCCGAUACUGACGCUGAGGAGCGAAAGCGUGGGGAGCGAACAGG
rnacentral:rRNA from 1 species